UUGUUCAUAUGGUAGUUUACUAUAAACUAUUCAUAUGAAGCUAGAAGGAAUUGCGGGAUCAAAUCCGUUUGCAAUUCCUUGUGCAUGGUCAUGCCGAGCUUCUCAAGCUCCUCUAAGUCCUUUAUCAUGGUCAAACCAUGAUCAUGGACAGACUGCCCAUCACGCAUCUUAGCCUUGAAGAGCCUCUUGGACACUUCAAAACAUGCUGCGUGACUCUGUUCACCAUACAACUCUUGUAAGUGAUAUAAUAUGUCCCUGGCAAUCUUCAUGUUCUCAUGCUGGCAUUAAAAUUCAUUGGACAUGGAUGCCUUUGUGCAGCACCUAACUUUAUUGUCAUUGUUCGUCCACUUAGCAUGCGUCUUACGCUGAUCAGUGAUCAGACGGAUUGGUAACACGGAG
rnacentral:lncRNA from 1 species